rnacentral:lncRNA from 1 species
UUUCCAAGCAGCAGAGUAUGUCAGAUAAUUUAAUGGCAUAUCCUAGGCGCUGAUUAGCUCUCGUCAUCAGGUAUGAGCUCCAAUUAAUGAAUAAAACAGCAGUCAUAGGAAAAAAACAACAGAUUUGAGUAAUUGAGUGAAUGGUAGCUCAACUCUUAAGAACAAUCCAUCAACUUUUAAAGGAUUUGGAUAACAUUUCUUUUGGUUUUCAAGUAGCAACUAAAAUUGUACAAGCGCAUGGCCGACUCUUCUUGAAAGUUUGCCAUCAUCCUCAUUCGACUUUAUUGCAUGCAGGUAUCACAUGCUCUUCAUAUGCUUUCCU